GGUAGUCCACGCCGUAAACGAUGGAUACUAGCUGUUGGAGGUAUCGACCCCUUCAGUAGCGAAGCUAACGCGUUAAGUAUCCCGCCUGUGGAGUACGGUCGCAAGACUAAAACAUAAAGGAAUUGACGGGGAGCCGCACAAGCGGUGGAGCAUGUUCUUUAAUUCGAUGAUAAGCGAAGAACCUUACCAGGACUUGACAUCCCUUGAAUUUUGCCGAAAGGCGAGAGUGCUUUAUUGAGCAAGGUGACAGGUGCUGCAUGGCCGUCGUCAGCUCGUGUCGUGAGAUGUUUGGUUAAG
rnacentral:rRNA from 1 species